rnacentral:rRNA from 1 species
UGGGGAAUUUUGGACAAUGGGCGAAAGCCUGAUCCAGCAAUGCCGCGUGUGUGAAGAAGGCCUUCGGGUUGUAAAGCACUUUUGUCCGGAAAGAAAUCCUUGGCUCUAAUACAGUCGGGGGAUGACGGUACCGGAAGAAUAAGCACCGGCUAACUACGUGCCAGCAGCCGCGGUAAUACGUAGGGUGCAAGCGUUAAUCGGAAUUACUGGGCGUAAAGCGUGCGCAGGCGGUUUGCUAAGACCGAUGUGAAAUCCCCGGGCUCAACCUGGGAACUGCAUUGGUGACUGGCAGGCUAGAGUAUGGCAGAGGGGGGUAGAAUUCCACGUGUAGCAGUGAAAUGCGUAGAGAUGUGGAGGAAUACCGAUGGCGGAGGCAGCCCCCUGGGCCAAUACUGACGCUCAUGCACGAAAGCGUGGGGAGCAAACAGGAUUAGAUACCCUGGUAGUCCACGCCCUAAACGAUGUCAACUAGUUGUUGGGGAUUCAUUUCCUUAGUAACGUAGCUAACGCGUGAAGUUGACCGCCUGGGGAGUACGGUCGCAAGAUUAAAACUCAAAUGAAUUGAC